CAAAUCAGCAGAGGAAACUGAUGGCAGAAGUGGAUCAUUGCCCUUUAUGUCUCCACAGGAAAUCACUUAUUACCUAAAAAGUUGCUUGCAAAUGAGAAAGAUAAGCUCUUUUUGACUCCUAUUUAAAUAUUAUGCUAAACAGAAAAAGUUGAUAAUCUAUGUAUUGCUUGUUUUUAAAGAAAAGAUGGAAGCAUAUCACUUUUUGUUAAAUGCAUCUAUUGUGCAUUACACCCCUAGUAUAGAGAAAGCCCAUAUCAAGUCCAAGCAACAAUGAACAAAUAUAGUCAGAGCGUGUGGGAGCAGCUACCUAUAAAGAUUCUGUCCUCCCAGAGAACAUCCCAGGCAUGGAAGUGACACACUGCCUACCAACUGCCUACAUUUGAUUUUAUAAACAUCCUCUUUUCUGAUGAAAAACUUCCAUUUGUGCUUUACGCAAGGAUGCUCCCUUUCCAAACAGGCAAAAGAGUAAAAACGAUCCCCAUGACUUAUGAAAGACAGCUUUUUAAAGUGUAUUGGAGUCUCUACAAUGUACUUUUUAUGGUGAUCCUAACAGUUUUCUCAAGACAGACAUAAUGGAGAAUCUGCCGUAAUCUACCUCUACAUGACAACAGCUUGACCCUAGCAACUAACACAAUCCAUCACCUGCUGUCGAGCAACCAAGAGCAAGAAAAGAAGUGGUUAGAAAAGGUACCACCAGCUCUGGAGCUUUUAUGGUCAGUAAAGUAUGGAAGAACCAAAAUAGGCUCUCAAAGUAAAUCAGAGCACAGCAAAUACUUCUCUAAACCAAGUUCUGAUUUUAUACUAUAGGAGAGAAAAAAAAUGUUACAUUUGAAUAUAUUUUAUGACACUGUAAGUUAUGCCUGAGAGAAAAAUGUAUUUAAUAAUUUUUUGCAGUAAUCAAUAUAUAACUUAAGAUUCAGAAAUAUUUCCUUUGGAUACCUUUUUUUCCUUAAAAAUACAAAAAAAAAAAU
rnacentral:lncRNA from 1 species